CAGGAUGUAGUAUAACGGUAGUACACGGCCUUCGGGAGGCCGGAGCCUGGGUUCAACCCCCAGCAUCCUGA
rnacentral:tRNA from 1 species